rnacentral:lncRNA from 1 species
CUCCCCGCGCCUCUCCUGCAGCUGUUUCUCCCUAACUCUCCCCUCUCCUCCCUCCACCUUGACCCUUCCUCGCACUCUUGUUCACACUGCGACCCUCCCUGCUUCACUUCGCUGCCCCUCCGCCUCCCUUUCCCCUCCCCGUUUGUCGCCCCUUCCUGUUGUCCCCUCUCCUUAUGACUCCUGGCCUGCCCUGGGCGUGGGGUGGGGGCUCCCUCUGCCCCAGUCACCCUGCUGCCCCUUGCCGUCUUCUCCACCUCCUCCCUGUCCCCCUCACCCCCACUGCCUACACUCC